GGGGAUUUAGCUCAGUGGUAGAGCGCUUGCCUAGCAAGCGCAAGGCCCUGGCAAGACCCUGGGUUCGGUCCCCAGCUCCG
rnacentral:tRNA from 1 species